rnacentral:rRNA from 1 species
CCUACGGGAGGCAAGCAGUGGGGAAUUUUGGACAAUGGGCGCAAGCCUGAUCCAGCAUGCCGCGUGAGUGAAGAAGGCCUUCGGGUUGUAAAGCUCUUUCGGCGGGGAAGAAAUCGCAUCUCCUAUACGGGGUGUGGAUGACGGUACCCGAAUAAGAAGCACCGGCUAACUACGUGCCCAGCAGCCGCGGUAAU